rnacentral:rRNA from 1 species
GUGCCAGCCGCCGCGGUAAUACCAGCAGCCCGAGUGAUGGCCGAUCUUAUUGGGCCUAAAGCGUCCGUAGCUGGCUGCGCAAGUCCGUCGGGAAAUCCACCCGCCCAACGGGUGGCCGUCCGGUGGAAACUACACGGCUUGGGACCGGAAGGCGCGACGGGUACGUCCAGGGUAGGAGUGAAAUCCCGUAAUCCUGGACGGACCGCCGAUGGCGAAAGCACGUCGCGAGAACGGGUCCGACAGUGAGGGACGAAAGCUAGGGUCUCGAACCGGAUUAGAAACCCCUGUAGUCC